rnacentral:rRNA from 1 species
UACGUAGGGCGCAAGCGUUAUCCGGAAUUAUUGGGCGUAAAGAGCUUGUAGGCGGUUUGUCGCGUCUGCCGUGAAAUUUCGGGGCUCAACCCCGAACUUGCGGUGGGUACGGGCAGACUAGAGUGUGGUAGGGGAGACUGGAAUUCCUGGUGUAGCGGUGAAAUGCGCAGAUAUCAGGAGGAACACCGGUGGCGAAGGCGGGUCUCUGGGAAGUAACUGACGCUGAGAAGCGAAAGCAUGGGUAGCAAACAGG